AACCCGGUACUGCCCAGAGGACUGGGGAUGAGGCACCAGCCUCGCACGGCCAGCCACCCACUCGCUCCGCAAGGAAGGCGGGCUAGGAAGGAAACCCAGGAGCGCGGGCGCCGCGCACCACCGGGAAAAGGGCGAAAGGGGAGCACGGAUGAGUGCGAGCAGGGGAGCGCGGGGGUUCGGUCAGGGCUGCAAAUUCAAGUUGGUCAGGCUCCCCGCGGGACCCUUCCCAAGUCCAAGCCCGCAGCUUGAUGAACGCCGGGGGACAAGGCAGUACCUUCCGACCCCUAACAGCCCUGCCUCCAAAGACCGGCAAACCAGGGGUCA